UACGAAGGGAGCUAGCGUUACUCGGAAUAACUGGGCGUAAAGCGUAUGUAGGCGGAACUACAAGUCAGAGGUGAAAUCCCGGGGCUCAACCCCGGAAUUGCCUUUGAAACUGUAGUUCUUGAGUAUGACAGAGGAUGGUGGAAUUUCUAGUGUAGAGGUGAAAUUCGUAGAUAUUAGAAAGAACACCGGUGGCGAAGGCGACCAUCUGGGUCAUAACUGACGCUGAGAUACGAAAGCGUGGGGAGCAAACAGG
rnacentral:rRNA from 1 species